GCCCAAGUGGCGGAAUUGGCAGACGCGCCGCACUCAAAAUGCGGUUCCCCUGGAGUGUGGGUUCGAGUCCCACCUUGGGCA
rnacentral:tRNA from 2 species